GUCAGGGUGGCCGAGUGGUCUAAGGCGUCCGCCUCAAGAGCGGAUCCUCAUGGGGUCGUGGGUUCGAAUCCCACCCCUGACA